GCCAGUAUGGCGUAAUGGUUUGAGCGUUGGACUACGACUCUGGAGACUAGGGUUCGAAUCCCGGCUUGGCCA
rnacentral:tRNA from 1 species